GCGAGAUGGACCGUGACCGGUCUUAGCCAGUCGUCUGACACCACAAACAAAAAAAAAAAAAAAAGCAGAAAUCGGUACGGAGUUCACUACGGUAAAUAAAUUUAGUAGCAAUAGUGCGGAGUUUUUCAAACGCGUUUUUGUAUUUGCACCCCAGCCAACGUAUUCGGACGCGGUGAAGCCAUUGCAAACUUAUUUGGUCUACAUCAACACGGAACACUGAGGUGCCGGUUUGCUUCCCAGAACUAAUGGACCCACCUGUACCAUGUCGUCAAUCCGCCAAGGCAUGAAUUGCACUAUUCUGGACGUCUCAGCUCCGGACAACCAAGCCCCCAAGCAUGCUGCCCGCGUUAGAUAUGAAGCUUCGAACUGGCUGCCGAAUAUCCCAUGCAGAUGGAUAAUUUUGCAUUUUCCCUGCCAGUUGGAGAGUGUAGAAAGUGCGGCAACUACCACCCUCGCCUACAAAGCACUGUGUCCCUCAUAACUGGCCAACCUGUUGCCCGAUGUGCCGAUCAACAGGACCAAACAUUCGUUUCCCAACCAAGUUAAUCAACAAAAUACAAACGGGUCAUGAUGUUUAUUGUUGUGAAUGAUAAGGUAAUGAGUAAAAGUUAGAAAUACGUAAAACUUAAAAAUAAAUGUUUCUUUAUCUGA